rnacentral:rRNA from 1 species
UACGAAGGGGGCUAGCGUUGUUCGGAAUUACUGGGCGUAAAGCGCACGCAGGCGGAUUUAUAAGUCAGGGGUGAAAUCCCGGGGCUCAACCUCGGAAUUGCCCUUGAUACUGUCUAUCUUGAGUCCGGGAGAGGUGAGUGGAAUUCCUAGUGUAGAGGUGAAAUUCGUAUAUAUUAGGAAGAACACCAGUGGCGAAGGCGGCUCACUGGCCCGGUACUGACGCUCAUGUGCGAAAGCGUGGGGAGCAAACAGG